CCUACGGGUGGCAGCAGUGGGGAAUAUUGCGCAAUGGGCGAAAGCCUGACGCAGCGACGCCGCGUGAGGGAUGAAGGUUUUCGGAUCGUAAACCUCUGUCAGUAGGGAAGAACGAUCACGGUGCUAACCAGCAGUGAACUGACGGUACCUGCACAGGAAGCACCGGCUAACUCCGUGCCAGCAGCCGCGGUAAUACGGAGGGUGCAAGCGUUAACCGGAAUUACUGGGCGUAAAGCGCUCGUAGGCGGUAUGUUAAGUCAAGGGUGAAAUCCCCGGGCUCAACGUGGGAGGGUCAUUGGAAACUGGGAAACUGGAGUGUGUGAGAGGAUAGUGGAAUUCCAGGUGUAGGAGUGAAAUCCGUAGAUAUCUGGAGGAACAUCAGUGGCGAAGGCGACUAUCUGG
rnacentral:rRNA from 1 species